rnacentral:rRNA from 1 species
AAUGAACGUUGGCGGCGUGGAUUAGGCAUGCAAGUCGCGCGAGAAAUCAAUUAGCUUGCUAAGUGAUGGACAGCGGCGUAAGGGAGAGUAAUACGUAGAAAUCUGCCCUCUGGUCUGGGAUAGCGUCGGGAAACUGGCGGUAAUACCGGAUAAAGUUUUCGAACCAAAGGUGUGAUUCCGCCGGAGGAUGAGUCUACGACCUAUUAGCUAGUUGGUGAGGUAAUGGCCCACCAAGGCAACGAUGGGUAGCGGGUGUGAGAGCAUGACCCGCCUCACUGGGACUGAGACACUGCCCAGACACCUACGGGUGGCUGCAGUCGAGAAUCUUUGUCAAUGGACGAAAGUCUGAACAAGCGACGCCGCGUGCGGGAUGAAGGCCUUCGGGUUGUAAACCGCUGUCGUAGGGGAACAAAUUUAUUGAGGUCAUCCUCUUUAUUUGAGUGAUCCUAGGAGGAAGGACGGGCUAAGUUCG